rnacentral:rRNA from 1 species
UGGGGAAUAUUGCGCAAUGGGCGAAAGCCUGACGCAGCAACGCCGCGUGAGUGAUGAAGGCCUUCGGGUCGUAAAGCUCUGUCGGAGGGAACGAAUGCUCUUGAGGUUAACAGCCUCGGGAGGUGACGGUACCCUCAAAGGAAGCACCGGCUGACUCUGUGCCAGCAGCCGCGGUAAUACAGAGGGUGCAAGCGUUAAUCGGAAUUACUGGGCGUAAAGCGCGUGUAGGUGGAUAAGUAAGUUGGAUGUGAAAGCCCCGGGCUCAACCUGGGAAUGCCAUUCAAAACUGCUCAUCUAGAGUAUGGUAGAGGGAAGUGGAAUUUCAGGUGUAGCGGUGAAAUGCGUAGAUAUCUGAAGGAACACCAGUGGCGAAGGCGGCUUCCUGGACCAAUACUGACACUGAGACGCGAAAGCGUGGGUAGCGAACAGGAUUAGAUACCCCCGUAGUCCCUGAGCGGGCUGGCAAGGCGCAU